rnacentral:miRNA from 10 species
CGGCAGGCGGGCCUCGCCGCGGUGGUGACGCGGACCGGGGGUGGGGCUGGGGCUGGGGCUGGGGCUGGGGCUGAGC